UGAGCUGCCAUGUGGGUGCUGGGAACCAAACCUAGGUCCUCUUCAAGAGCAGCCAGUGCUCUCAACCACUGAGCGAUCUCUUCAGCCUCAGUCUAAAGAGCAAACACAAUGCAAUCCCCAGAGUAACUUAAAAUGUAACCAGACCAGGAGAGUAACACUGACCACUUGUAACUUUCUUCCUUACAGGCACGAAUUGUUCUCAGACAGAGGCACAGACCCACUGCAUUGGACCUAAUGGGGCCACUUUGCCAUGCGCUACUCAAACACCCUGGGGGUACAGUAGCAAUCAAGAGUUCCAGUGAUACUGCCGUGCACUGCAUAGAGGAAGCUCAAUCCAGUGACGCUGCCACAUCCUUGCAUAGAUAAAACUACUCGAAUAACAUAUAUAUCCAGGGACAUCAUUUUCCUUCUCUGUUUUCAGCCCAGGUCGUGGAGCACUGCCCCCAGAUGUGCCCUGCAGCUGUAUGGGCGAGCCUUCGCUCCAGCUGUGCUCCCAGCGUGGGCACUUCCCUGUUACUGCAUCAGACUGGAAGACUCAGUUCACACACUCUGGCUUUUCUCCUCUGGAUCCUUCAGCACUGGAUGCGGCUUGCUGUGGUUUGAAUAUCCUUGGCUCAGGGAGUGAUACUAUUAGGAGGUGUGGCCUUGUUGGAGGAAGUGUGUCAUGGUGGGGUGGCCUUGGAGACCCUAAUCCUAGCUGCCCAUGAGGCAGUCUCCUCUUGUUUACCUUCAGAUCAAGAUGUAGAACUCCCAGCUCUGCCUGCACCAUGCCUACCUGGAUGCUCCCUCCCUCCUUGAUAUUACUG
rnacentral:lncRNA from 1 species